rnacentral:rRNA from 1 species
CGAAAGAGAGAUUAAUACCCCGUAAUAAAUUGAACGGCAUCGUUUGAUUUUGAAAGCUCCGGGCGGUUUGAGAUGAGUAUGCGUCUGAUUAGCUAGUUGGUGAGGUAACGGCUCACCAAGGCGACGAUCAGUAGGGGACCUGAGAGGACUAACCCCCACACUGGUACUGAGACACGGACCAGACUCCUACGGGAGGCAGCAGUAAGGAAUAUUGGUCAAUGGAGGCAACUCUGAACCAGCCAUGCCGCGUGCAGGAUGACGGCCCUAUGGGUUGUAAACUGCUUUUAUACAAGAGAAAACCCUGGUACGUGUACCAAGUUGAUAGUAUUGUAAGAAUAAGCAUCGGCUAACUUCGUG